rnacentral:lncRNA from 1 species
CUCUCUCUCUCUCUCUCUCUCUCUCUCUCUCUCUCUCUCUCUCUCUCUCUCUCUCUCUCUCUCUCUCUCUCUCUCUCUCUCUCAUAAUCCUAAUUUAACAUUCCUCUUAGCUCUUCACAACAGACAGAUGAGUAAGUCGGAGUAAUGAGUGGAGAGAUUUGGUAAAGCUUCCAGAUGGUAAGUGUGUGUGUGUGUGUGUGUGUGUGUGUUUGUUACCUGGGCAACGCUCCCCAGGUGAACCAAGCUACAGUGGUCUCCUCACUACCCACUCCACUAGUUUAGCUCUCCCGUCUCGUCUCUACCUCACUCAUAAUUCACUGGGGUCUACGUGUCUCCCUGGCUGGCUGGCUGACGUGUUGCGUUCUUGCCUUGCCUCUCCUCCCUCACUGCAAGUGCCAAGUGAAGUGUCUGGCAACCCUGCCGUAGUCAGCCCGGCGGCCGGACAGUUUACCAUGAGCCGCGCUGCCCUUGGCAGGACAAGGCCCUGGCCGUGAGGGACAGUGAGUGGUGGAGAUGAAGAUACCGAUAAUAGUGAUAUCUAUAGUAGCGAAGAGUAUAUUGUGUGUGUAGCCUCUCAGUAAUCAGAGGUUAACUAUUUAAACAUGGUUGAAGACACAAAGUGGACAGUGGAGUGUGGGUGCUUGCUAGUGACACGGACAGCCGCCGCGGAGCAAUCUUUGCCUAACGUAAGUGAUAUAUUGGUAUAACUCAUCAUUUCACGGUGGUGCCAUGUCAUAACCUAACGUUGGUAACCUCCUGGACAAUAUAUCAGUGAACUAACACCUGCACAUACUUAUAAAAACAAAAUAAUUCAGUCUUGAAAACGUAAACAAACCGAUCUCCUGACCCGCCGCCUCUCUCUCAGCCAUUAUCUGCAUCAUCUCUUACUCAUUACAGGCCUGACAGGUCACAAAGUGGAGCCAUAGGCCUAAUCUUUCAUGUCAGUUGUUGAGAUAUAUCCGCAACUACCUGAUUUGUGUGCUAUGGAGUGAGAAGAAGCGGGCCUACCCAUGACGUCACGAGCC